GUUGGAGAACAGCUAUUGAGUCACAAGAAAGAAAGACUAGAACAUUAUCAAAGAGGGAUAAUGAAUGUUUAUUGUAAGCAACACACCAGAUUUAAAGCUCUUCUCGAGAGACACAAUCUAUGCUCCCCAAUCCUCCCCAGAAUGUGAACAGGGGAGUUAACCUGUUCCCAGGAGAUCUUGGAACUGUUCAUGCAGCCUUGAACUGAGAUUUCUAUGUUUUGGUGUACUCAGCAGGAAUGGUAUGUCACAAACACCUGGGAAGAGGAACUCCAUUCCAUGAAGUCAUGAAAGGUUCACUGCACCUUGUGACUGGUUCUCUGAUCUUCUUUGAGGCACCAGAAAAUGAUUCAAAGUCAAGUAAGGUCACCUCUUUAUUCAGCAAAGACAGUAGUAAUGAAAAGUUCUAAGUUUCAUUUAGGUUAUCAGCACCAUAUCUAUGUCAUUAAAAAGAGUUUGGAAGGAUUACAUUGGAAGAAGAGAGAAGAGAGAGUAAGAAUGGGGAGAAUUUUCUAAUAUACAAGGGAUGAGUUUUUAAAGAGAAGGAGAUAACUUGGGAUGGUGGGCAUUGAUUAAGAAAUUCU
rnacentral:lncRNA from 1 species